CGGGGUGAGUAAUGUAUGGGGAUCUGCCUGAUGGCGGGGGAUAACUACUGGAAACGGUAGCUAAUACCGCAUAAUGUCUGCGGACCAAAGAGGGGGACCUUCGGGCCUCUUGCCAUCGGAUGUGCCCAGAUGGGAUUAGCUAGUAGGUAAGGUAACGGCUUACCUAGGCGACGAUCCCUAGCUGGUCUGAGAGGAUGAUCAGCCACACUGGGACUGAGACACGGCCCAG
rnacentral:rRNA from 1 species